AAGGUCUUUAAAUCAGUCCAGUGAGGCUGGUAAGAAAAGUAGAUGGAUAUGUUUAUAUGUGUUAAUGCGUCUAUAACUUCUUACCAGCAUGGUAAGGAGUUUUUUUAU
rfam:Fervidicella metallireducens AeB contig00079, whole genome shotgun sequence.